GUUCUCCCCGAAAGCUAUUUAGGUAGCGCCUCGUGAACUCAUCUUCGGGGGUAGAGCACUGUUUCGGCUAGGGGGUCAUCCCGACUUACCAACCCGAUGCAAACUACGAAUACCGAAGAAUGUUAUCACGGGAGACACACGGCGGGUGCUAACGUCCGUCGUGAAGAGGGAAACAACCCAGACCGCCAGCUAAGGUCCCAAAGUCAUGGUUAAGUGGGAAACGAUGUGGGAAGGCACAGACAGCCAGGAUGUUGGCUUAGAAGCAGCCAUCAUUUAAAGAAAGCGUAAUAGCUCACUGGUCGAGUCGGCCUGCGCGGAAGAUGUAACGGGGCUAAACCAUGCACCGAAGCUGCGGCAGCGACACUAUGUGUUGUUGGGUAGGGGAGCGUUCUGUAAGCCUGCGAAGGUGUGCUGUGAGGCAUGCUGGAGGUAUCAGAAGUGCGAAUGCUGACAUAAGUAACGAUAAAGCGGGUGAAAAGCCCGCUCGCCGGAAGACCAAGGGUUCCUGUCCAACGUUAAUCGGGGCAGGGUGAGUCGACCCCUAAGGCGAGGCCGAAAGGCGUAGUCGAUGGGAAACAGGUUAAUAUUCCUGUACUUGGUGUUACUGCGAAGGGGGGACGGAGAAGGCUAUGUUAGCCGGGCGACGGUUGUCCCGGUUUAAGCAUGUAGGCUGAUUGUCCAGGCAAAUCCGGAUAAUCAAGGCUGAGGUGUGAUGACGAGGCACUACGGUGCUGAAGUAACAAAUGCCCUGCUUCCAGGAAAAGCCUCUAAGCAUCAGGUAACAUUAAAUCGUACCCCAAACCGACACAGGUGGUCAGGUAGAGAAUACCAAGGCGCUUGAGAGAACUCGGGUGAAGGAACUAGGCAAAAUGGUGCCGUAACUUCGGGAGAAGGCACGCUGGUGUGUAGGUGAAGUCCCUGCGGAUGGAGCUGAGACCAGUCGAAGAUACCAGCUGGCUGCAACUGUUUAUUAAAAACACAGCACUGUGCAAACACGAAAGUGGACGUAUACGGUGUGACGCCUGCCCGGUGCCGGAAGGUUAAUUGAUGGGGUUAUCCGUAAGGAGAAGCUCUUGAUCGAAGCCCCGGUAAACGGCGGCCGUAACUAUAACGGUCCUAAGGUAGCGAAAUUCCUUGUCGGGUAAGUUCCGACCUGCACGAAUGGCGUAAUGAUGGCCAGGCUGUCUCCACCCGAGACUCAGUGAAAUUGAACUCGCUGUGAAGAUGCAGUGUACCCGCGGCAAGACGGAAAGACCCCGUGAACCUUUACUAUAGCUUGACACUGAACAUUGAGCCUUGAUGUGUAGGAUAGGUGGGAGGCUUUGAAGCGUGGACGCCAGUCUGCGUGGAGCCAACCUUGAAAUACCACCCUUUAAUGUUUGAUGUUCUAACGUUGGCCCCUGACCGGGGUUGCGGACAGUGUCUGGUGGGUAGUUUGACUGGGGCGGUCUCCUCCCAAAGCGUAACGGAGGAGCACGAAGGUUAGCUAAUCCUGGUCGGACAUCAGGAGGUUAGUGCAAUGGCAUAAGCUAGCUUGACUGCGAGCGUGACGGCGCGAGCAGGUGCGAAAGCAGGUCAUAGUGAUCCGGUGGUUCUGAAUGGAAGGGCCAUCGCUCAACGGAUAAAAGGUACUCCGGGGAUAACAGGCUGAUACCGCCCAAGAGUUCAUAUCGACGGCGGUGUUUGGCACCUCGAUGUCGGCUCAUCACAUCCUGGGGCUGAAGUAGGUCCCAAGGGUAUGGCUGUUCGCCAUUUAAAGUGGUACGCGAGCUGGGUUUAGAACGUCGUGAGACAGUUCGGUCCCUAUCUGCCGUGGGCGCUGGAGAAUUGAGGGGGGCUGCUCCUAGUACGAGAGGACCGGAGUGGACGCAUCACUGGUGUUCGGGUUGUCAUGCCAAUGGCACUGCCCGGUAGCUAAAUGCGGAAGAGAUAAGUGCUGAAAGCAUCUAAGCACGAAACUUGCCCCGAGAUGAGUUCUCCCUGAGACUUUAAGUCUCCUGAAGGAACGUUAAAGACGAUGACGUUGAUAGGCCGGGUGUGUAAGCGCAGCGAUGCGUUGAGCUAACCGGUACUAAUGAACCGUGAGGCUUAACCUU
rnacentral:rRNA from 1 species